rnacentral:rRNA from 1 species
CUACGGGCUGCAGCAGUGGGGAAUAUUGCACAAUGGAGGAAACUCUGAUGCAGCAACGCCGCGUGGAGGAUGACACUUUUCGGAGCGUAAACUCCUUUUAUAUAGGAAGAAGAUGACGGUACUAUAUGAAUAAGCGCCGGCUAACUCCGUGCCAGCAGCCGCGGUAAUACGGAGGGCGCAAGCGUUACUCGGAAUCACUGGGCGUAAAGAGCGUGUAGGCGGAUUAAAAAGUCAGAAGUGAAAUCCUAUAGCUUAACUAUAGAACUGCUUCUGAAACUCUUAAUCUAGAAUAUGGGAGAGGUAGAUGGAAUUUCUGGUGUAGGGAUAAAAUCCGUAGAGAUCAGAAGGAAUACCGAUUGCGAAGGCGAUCUACUAGAACAUUAUUGACGCUGAGACGCGAAAGCGUGGGGAGCAAACAGGAUUAGAUACCCUCGUAGUC